rnacentral:piRNA from 1 species
UUCAUCAGGACUUGGUCUUCUGUCGAUGU